GCCCAACUGGGCAGAGGGAUCCUCCUCCUGGAUCGCUGUACAGCAGGGCUUGGAAGCUCCUCCAGCCAAGAACUUGGGACUCCAGGGAAGGGAUGUGUUUGUGCCUCUUCUGAACCGCUUCGUUCUGAAAGCAGCCGCAGUUGUCUUGAGCUACUGUCUCCAGUUCAAGAAGCCUUUGGUGGUCCCACUGAGAAUGCCCAUGAGAGCCUGCUCUUGUAGCUGGAGUUGGAGGGAAGCUUCCAUCAGGGAACCUGCUGAUGAUUCCAAGGCUACUACAGACAAUGCUCCCUGACUACAUCCAUCCAUGCUCCUAGAUCAUAGAAACGUUGGCUGGAGAGGAGCUCUGGGGGUCUCCUACAACCUCCUACUCAAAGCAAGACUGUUGCUAACAGCAGAUUAGGUCAGCUGUGGCUGUCUCAGCAAGUCAUGAAAACCUCCCGGGGUGGGGAUCCCACCACUCCCACUCUGGGAGUCUCUUCCACCCACAUUCUACUCAGUUUAUUUCUUAGAAUUUACUCCCCUCCACUGCAGCCCUACCAGAAGGACAAUAACUUCAAGAUGUUUUACAACACACACCACCCCUGGUAAUCAAGGACCUGAUGACCCAUAAACACACAAGCAGAUAAAUACCUAUUAAAGGAACUGGGAACAUUAAGUCCUCUGUUUAGGUUCUCAAAAAUCCCCACUGGACUGUUCCUGAAGCUUACAGGCUGGAGAUAUCUACACUAUUAUCUGUAAAGUUCUCCAGGCCCUUGGACUUCUGCUCCUGGGAUUAUCAGAAGCAGCUUACUGCCUCUUUCAAGCUCAGAUCUGAUUCACAUACAUGAAAAUAAGGUGUUACUGAGCCUCUCCAGCUUAAGGCUCAAUUUGUUAAGGUGUUCUCAGAGUGUUCCCAUCAGAUCUACCUGGAUUUAUGUGCUGAAUGCAUAUGUAAUGUUCUGCCUAUUCGCCUAUACAUGUAUGGUUGCAAUCUCUUUCCUUCCCUCUGGCCCAAGUUCAUCUGAACAAAGCAGAACAGCUUUGCUAGAGCAGAGCAGGAGACUAACGGUGCCAAGCACCUCUGGCAAUGGGUACUUGCACCUUUGGGUGCAGUAGAAAACAGAGUCUUUUUCUCUCUCCCAUUAGACAGGCAACCAGAGCUGAGGUCUUUGAAAUGAGAUCUUUGAGUGCCCACCCUUGUGAGAAAAUUUUGUGUGUCUGUGAUGGUUUGGAUGUUACCUACCCCCACACUUUUGAAA